rnacentral:snRNA from 1 species
AACUCGUUGUCUAUCAACCAGU